rnacentral:lncRNA from 1 species
AUAAUUACACAGUGAGGUCAUGUGUUUACCAUACCAUUGUUCCAUCGCCAUGGAGAUGAUGAGCGACAAAGCACUGGCAAGAAGCCUCCCAUGCAGGAUGAAGCCAAGGAAGAAGAGAAGAGAGGAAGGACACGCCCAUUAACCAAAGGACCCAAAACAUAUCUCAAGGAGCUCAUGAAGUCAUCCUCAUGCACACAGUUUCCCAGGUGUCAGAUCUGUUUGGUAAGCACAUAACCUUCCAACCCAGCUCAGCAUGUAGCUGCACCCAACAAGCAGCCUCUGGAUCUGGCCCCUGCUUCUAUUUCCAGCCAACUUCUUACCGCCCACUUCUUUGUGCUCUACUCCAACUAUAUUCUGCCUAGCGUUUGAAAAUACUGCUUUUUCCAUCUAAAAUAAUAACUUCCUUUUACUGAUAACACUGACCUAGGCAGAGUCCUAAGAAGGUGGCCUGUAUAUCCUCUAGGUAAGGAAAUUAGGGUUCAAAGUGGUUCAACAAUUUACCUAGGGUCGUACAGCUUUUAAGUAGCAGAGCAGAGAUUUGAAUCCAGGUCUUUCCAACUGUAAAAGUUGUGACCCUUCUACUACCUAGGGUGACCUA